rnacentral:rRNA from 1 species
GCUAGUAAUGGCAGGUCAGCAUACUGCCGUGAAUACGUUCCCGGGCCUUGUACACACCGCCCGUCACACCAUGAGAGUUGGGGAUACCCGAAGCCUGUGAGCCAACAGUUAAAUGGGGCAGCAGUCGAAGGUAGAAUCAAUGAUUGGGGUGAAGUCGUAACAAGGUACC